CCGGAAUAGUAGUUAGGUAGACUGUAGUACUAUGAAAUUACCAGCAACAGUUGAGCUUUCAUAGGAAGGACAGCAGUCAUGCUUAGCCCGUGCGUAAUAAUGAGCUCAUACAAACCUGCUUAUAAGCCAUAGGUAUCAUGGAGUUUCCCCCUGAAAAACAAACAGCAAUUAUGCUGAUGACAGUAAUCGCAUUAUAGCAAGUUUAUUGGAGAAGCAAAUGUCCUAAAGUUAGAAACUUCAGCUAAAACAACACAGGCAUAACAAUGAUGACAGCAAACUAAUCCAAAAUUUCUCUUCAAGGUUUGAGAAUGAAGCCAAAAGACACAACCUUUGAUUUGUUAUAGCCCAGAAGCCAACGAAGAACAAAAUAUAGUAUCAAUCAAUUUCCUCCCGCCAAGCAAAUUGAAAUGAAGUUUAGUAGCCCCAAUCAACAAUGAUCAAGUUAAACCCAACCAUUAAUCAUCGAUCAAAAUCCCAAAAAUCCAUACAAAAUAAAAGACAACCCAAACAAGUUUGAAUGUAAUAGAAAGAGUAGAAAGUACCUUGACUCCAUUUCAAGCAGAGCGGAGGAAGGGGACGACGGAGUUGAAGCAGGAAGCGGGUAACCUCCACGCGCGCGCGCGAAUUUCAAGGGACUUAGUUUGGGGUCGGUUUCCAAGCACGACCCAACCUGAAUGGGCUGGGAUAUAAAGUUUCUCAUUUUGAACUUCUUAUUAGGAAUAUUACCUACCAAUUUCAUGAUCGAUGAAUGUCGUCACAUUUUGGUAAAUAUUUUGGAGAAGCACAUGUCCCGGAAUGAAAGCUGCAUAAGCUAAUAGAAAGGAGACGAACAAUAUAUUUUGAGCGAUACUUGUAUGAUUAUGCAUGUGUAUUCAUAGGGAAGCACAAGACCAAAACCAUCUUACACAUAAUUUUUUUUAGUACUGAUACUGUUACUAGAAAAGAUCUAAGAAAUACUUUCAAGGACAUUAGUACUGGAAACUCUGCAAUGUUGUAGAACACGCAAUUACCAUAACAUCAGCAUAAUGAGGCCAUAACAGGGGAGGGUAUGGUCAGGGGAUUAAAAAAUCAUACCCAUAUCUUAUUUCAUUUCCAAUCCCCAUGCCCGUCCCAAACCUCGUAAGGGAUUCCUCGUCCCCAUCCCCUUUGGUGAUUACGUUCCUAUACCUGCCCGGAUCCCCGUUAACAAUUAUUUAAUAAAUUAAUUUUUUAAAAAAUUUAGAAAUACACAAAUAUGAAAUUAGAAUCAAAUACCAAAAUAAAUAAGUUUCUUUAUUCAAUUUAACAAAAACGAAUACGACUCUCGCUUAAAAAAAAAGUUUCUAUAAAUAUUCAUUAUGAGAAUCAGAAUAAGAAAAAAAAUAUUGCAAACAAUUUUUACAUAAAUAUCUAUUUAUAAAUUAUAUAUAAUAAAUUAUAUAUAAUAAUAUUUCUAAUCCUAAAUGGGUGGGGACGGGAACAAAUAUUAAAAUAUCAUAAACGUCCCGUAUCUGAUUCAAAAAUCUGAAUACUGGGAAUCUCCAUACCCGUUACACAUUUAUCCCCGUACCUCGUUAGGAUCGAAUACCAUGCGUAGGUCUAGGCUCAUCACGGCCUGUUACCCGUUACCCAUUAGGUCUAGACACAUCACGGCCCAAACUGCCUAGACAUGGACCGUCUCUGCCUAGCCUGCUAAAAGCCUAAGUCACUUUUUUUUUUUUCCAACAAGUAGGGGGGGGGGGGUGGGGGAUGCCAUUCUAUUCUGAUUAUAGGUAGCUAGAGUUUCUUCUGUUUCAUAUUUCUUCUCUAGUGAACGUAUCAUAUAUUCAUAUUCAGUAAUUAAAACUCGUCUUUUUUCAAAAGUAAUGAAAUGUUAUACGAAAGAGAAGAGUCUCACACUGAGCAAUCAAGGUUCUUUCUUCUUGAUUGGAAUCUUCCUCUUUCUACGUUGUCGUNNN
rnacentral:lncRNA from 1 species